rnacentral:rRNA from 1 species
AGAGUUUGAUCAUGGCUCAGAACGUACGCUGGCGGCACGCCUAACACAUGCAAGUCGAACGAAGUAGCAAUACUUAGUGGCAGACGGGUGAGUAACAUGUGGGUAUCUGCCCUUUGGCCUGGAAUAACACGAGGAAACUUGUGCUAAUACCGGAUAAGUCUUUACAGAGAAAGCUUUAUGCACCAUUGGAUGAGCCCGCACUUGAUUAGUUUGUUGGUGGGGUAAUGGCCUACCAAGACUGUGAUCAAUAGCUGAUUUGAGAGGAUGAUCAGCCACAUUGGGACUGAGACACGGCCCAAACUCCUACGGGAGGCAGCAGUGGGGAAUCUUGCACAAUGGAGGAAACUCUGAUGCAGCGAUGCCGCGUGAGUGAAGAAGGCCCUUGGGUUGUAAAGCUCUUUCGUCGGGGAAGAAAAUGACUGUACCCGAAUAAGAAGGUCCGGCUAACUUCGUGCCAGCAGCCGCGGUAAUACGAAGGGACCUAGCGUAGUUCGGAAUUACUGGGCUUAAAGAGUUCGUAGGUGGUUGAAAAAGUUGGUGGUGAAAUCCCAGAGCUUAACUCUGGAACUGCCAUCAAAACUUUUCAGCUAGAGUUUGAUAGAGGAAAGCAGAAUUUCUAGUGUAGAGGUGAAAUUCGUAGAUAUUAGAAAGAAUACCAAUUGCGAAGGCAGCUUUCUGGAUCAUUACUGACACUGAGGAACGAAAGCAUGGGUAGCGAAGAGGAUUAGAUACCCUCGUAGUCCAUGCCGUAAACGAUGUGUGUUAGACGUUGGAAAUUUAUUUUCAGUGUCGCAGCGAAAGCGAUAAACACACCGCCUGGGGAGUACGACCGCAAGGUUAAAACUCAAAUGAAUUGACGGGGACCCGCACAAGUAGUGGAGCAUGUGGUUUAAUUCGAAGAUACGCGCAGAACCUUACCAACACUUGACAUGUUCGUCGCGACUUUAAGAGAUUAAAGUUUUCGGUUCGGCCGGACGAAACACAGGUGCUGCAUGGCUGUCGUCAGCUCGUGUCGUGAGAUGUUGGGUUAAGUCCCGCAACGAGCGCAACCCUCACUUUUAGUUGCCAUCAUUUAGUUGGGCACUCUGAAAGAACUGCCAGUGAUAAGCUGGAGGAAGGUGGGGAUGACGUCAAGUCCUCAUGGCCCUUACGUGUUGGGCUACACACGUGCUACAAUGGUAUUUACAACAGGAAGCGAAACAGCGAUGUUAAGCAAAUCCUUAAAAAAUACCUCAGUUCGGAUUGCACUCUGCAACUCGAGUGCAUGAAGCUGGAAUUACUAGUAAUCGUGGAUCAGCGUGCCACGGUGAAUGCGUUCCCGGGUCUUGUACACACCGCCCGUCACACCAUGGGAGUUGGUUCUACCUUAAGGCAAGGUUUAAUACCCUUGACCACGGUAUAGUCAGCGACUGGGGUGAAGUCGUAACAAGGUAGCCGUA